rnacentral:sRNA from 1 species
AUCUGCGUAUCAUCACGGUAUCCCGCUUUUCCCCCAGUUCCCCAAGAGCGUCCUUCCUUUCCCUAGUCACAGGAUCGCAGUUUUGGUCUGAUAGCGCAUCCACCUACCCCAGUGUUGCAUCCCCACUUCCCUCUUUCCAUCUAACGUGGUGGCCUUUCCUGGGGAUACCUUGGGUAUCCCCCGCUGGGAGAGCAAGCACAAGACACCAGGGAGCCAGACCCCUGCCGCUCCCCUGCCACAGGAUAUGAAUACGAGCCUCAGCUGGUUGGAGCAGCUGGAUGUGCUUCUCAACGCUACUGAUGGAAAUGUGGUCCGGAAUAAGCAGUGGCUGUAUCCUCUUGGGGUCUCCACAGAGCUCAUUGGCCUGUGCAUCUGUUUCUUCUGUAGCAGUGGCUGUAUCCUCUUGGGGUCUCCACCGCAGAAUAGCACUGCUGUCACUCCUACAGUGCUGUGGGAGGACUCAGAGAUUAUGCAGAAGGAAUUGAAGUUGCUGCAGUACCAGUUGAGCCAGCACCAGGAGCUGCUGCUGAAACAGCUGGCUGAGGGACGACAGGCUCAGGUUGGCAGUUGGAAGGUAGGACUAGGUUCAGACUUGUCUCUGCAUAUUUCUCUAUGGAGGACCUUUCCUUUCUCUGUCUAUCCUGUUCUGCAGGGAGGCCAGGAUACCCUCUCCUGCCCCUGUCUCCAUUCCUCUCUUCCCUGUGCUGACUCUCUCUCUCUCCAGAGCUCUUCUUCCUAACCCUUCUGCUCCCGGCCAUGAGAAACUAUCCUUGCCGACAUGAGGGUUCCAAGUGUGCUGAAGAGGACAGUCAUGGGGAGGGAGAGAGGGAGAGGUUUGGUUCCACCUGAGCCCAUGAUCUGGCAGAUGUUACAGCAGUUGCAAAGUGGCCAGGAAGGCAAGGGUCAUACCCUGGAGGCU